GGCGGCGUGCUUACACAUGCAAGUCGAACGAUGAAGCCCUUCGGGGUGGAUUAGUGGCGAACGGGUGAGUAACACGUGGGCAAUCUGCCCUUCACUCUGGGACAAGCCCUGGAAACGGGGUCUAAUACCGGAUAACACUCUGUCCCGCAUGGGACGGGGUUAAAAGCUCCGGCGGUGAAGGAUGAGCCCGCGGCCUAUCAGCUUGUUGGUGGGGUAAUGGCCUACCAAGGCGACGACGGGUAGCCGGCCUGAGAGGGCGACCGGCCACACUGGGACUGAGACACGGCCCAGACUCCUACGGGAGGCAGCAGUGGGGAAUAUUGCACAAUGGGCGAAAGCCUGAUGCAGCGACGCCGCGUGAGGGAUGACGGCCUUCGGGUUGUAAACCUCUUUCAGCAGGGAAGAAGCGAAAGUGACGGUACCUGCAGAAGAAGCGCCGGCUAACUACGUGCCAGCAGCCGCGGUAAUACGUAGGGCGCAAGCGUUGUCCGGAAUUAUUGGGCGUAAAGAGCUCGUAGGCGGCUUGUCACGUCGGAUGUGAAAGCCCGGGGCUUAACCCCGGGUCUGCAUUCGAUACGGGCUAGCUAGAGUGUGGUAGGGGAGAUCGGAAUUCCUGGUGUAGCGGUGAAAUGCGCAGAUAUCAGGAGGAACACCGGUGGCGAAGGCGGAUCUCUGGGCCAUUACUGACGCUGAGGAGCGAAAGCGUGGGGAGCGAACAGGAUUAGAUACCCUGGUAGUCCACGCCGUAAACGUUGGGAACUAGGUGUUGGCGACAUUCCACGUCGUCGGU
rnacentral:rRNA from 1 species